GCUGGGCCAGCAGCUUUAUUUAGUUGCGCUGAAAUCCCACAGACCUGGAUCAGGACUCCUAAGCCCAUGUCCUCACCAUCCAAGAGGACAAAAGCUCGUGAGCGGAUUCUGUCUCCUCUGGGAAGAGAGCCA
rnacentral:sRNA from 1 species